AGCUUUGUACAGUGGCAGUAUUGUAGCCAAUGAGGUUUAUCUGAGAUGCUAUUAUUGCUAACUGAAAACUUUUCCCAAUAUCCCGCCAUGACAACUUGAAAUAUACUCGGCAUUGGCAAUUUUUGACAGUCUCUACAGAGA
ensembl:snRNA U4 U4 spliceosomal RNA